UUGGAGGCUGUUGAGGUUGUUGGAGUUGGAUGGAUCAAACCUGCUAGCCAGAUGGUAAGAGGCGCUGUGCUACGAAGUUCUGUGACAUCGAGACGGCCAUACUACUGGGGGUUAGUGGUCAAGGCAAGCAGUGUGCAUUGGCUAAUAUCUGAUCUGAGUUGUCAUGGUCACCGUGGGCUCACAGCCAGGGGAAGUGAUGGAAUGAGGUCGCAAUCACUGAAUCCAAGGAGGGGUCUGCAUGGUCCACCUUUCAGCAGUGCACUCUCAACACAUAAGCACAGCUGAGGGUGUCGCCUAGCAACACUUCUCCACCAGAGCACGACGGAGAGCCUAGAGAACAUGCAACGGUUUUGGAAUGACCUCUUUUGCCCUGAAAUCAAAAGGGUAAAGAACCUUUUCGUACCCAGUAUUUUCACCCCAUGAAGGUACUUCUGCACUGUGAUAGAGUGACCUCUCUCAACCUUCGUUUUGAUAAGCAAAACAGAUUGAGCUUUUAAAGUCUGUCGCUGGAAGGCAUUUCUCCAGCUCUCAAAUAACUUCUGUGACUCUUCUCUGCACCCUCUCCAAUUUUUCUAUGUCCUUUUUAAAAUGUGGACAUCAGAACUGGAUGCUGCAUUGUAAUAUCAAUCUCACCAACGCCAUGU